UACGUAGGGUGCAAGCUUUGUCCGGAAUUAUUGGGCGUAAAGAGCUCGUAGGCGGUUUGUUGCGUCGGCUGUGAAAUCCCGAGGCUCAACCUCGGGUCUGCAGUCGAUACGAGCAAACUAGAGUGUUGCAGGGGAGACUGGAAUUCCUGGUGUAGCGGUGAAAUGCGCAGAUAUCAGGAGGAACACCGGUGGCGAAGGCGGGUCUCUGGGCAACAACUGACGCUGAGGAGCGAAAGCGUGGGGAGCGAACAGG
rnacentral:rRNA from 1 species